rnacentral:rRNA from 1 species
CAGCCGUAAACUAUGCGCGUUAGGUGUAUCGGUGACCACGAGUUACCGAGGUGCCGAAGGGAAACCGUGAAACGUGCCGCCUGGGAAGUACGGUCGCAAGGCUGAAACUUAAAGGAAUUGGCGGGGAGCACCACAACAGGUGGAGCCUGCGGUUUAAUUGGACUCAACGCCGGGAAGCUCACCGGAUAGGACAGCAGAAUGAUUGCCGGGCUGAAGACCCUGCAUGACUGGCUGAGAGGAGGUGCAUGGCGUCAGUGACU